CGUAGGCGGCCCGCUAAGUCGAACGUGAAAUCCCCGGGCUCAACCCGGGAACUGCGUCCGAUACUGGCGGGCUUGAAUCCGGGAGAGGGAUGCGGAAUUCCAGGUGUAGCGGUGAAAUGCGUAGAUAUCUGGAGGAACACCGGUGGCGAAGGCGGCAUCCUGGACCGGCAUUGACGCUGAGGCGCGAAAGCCAGGGGAGCAAAG
rnacentral:rRNA from 1 species